CACGUAGGGGCAAGCGUUGUCCGGAUUUAUUGGGCGUAAAGAGCUCGUAGGUGGCUAAGUAAGUCGGAUGUUAAAUCCCAGGCUCAACCUGGACACCACCCGAUACUGCUUUGGCUAGAGUCCGGUAGGGAGCAUGGAAUUCCUGGUGUAGCGGUGAAAUGCGUAGAGAUCGGAAAGAACACCAACGGCGAAAGCACUCUGCUGGCCGACACUGACACUGAGAGACGAAAGCUAGGGAGCGAAU
rnacentral:rRNA from 1 species